UACGUAGGGGGCAAGCGUUUGUCCGGAAUUAUUGGGCGUAAAGCGCGCGCAGGCGGUUAUUUUAAGUCUGGUGUUUUAAACCUUGGGCUCAACCUGGGGUCGCACUGGAAACUGGGUAACUUGAGUACAGAAGAGGAAAGUGGAAUUUCCACGUGUAGCGGUGAAAUGCGUAGAGAUGUGGAGGAACACCAGUGGCGAAGGCGACUUUCUGGGCU
rnacentral:rRNA from 1 species